rnacentral:rRNA from 1 species
AUUGAACGCUGGCGGCAGGCUUAACACAUGCAAGUCGAGCGGGGUGAUGGUGCUUGCACUAUCACUUAGCGGCGGACGGGUGAGUAAUGCUUAGGAAUCUGCCUAUUAGUGGGGGACAACAUCUCGAAAGGGAUGCUAAUACCGCAUACGUCCUACGGGAGAAAGCGGGGGAUCACUUGUGACCUUGCGCUAAUAGAUGAGCCUAAGUCGGAUUAGCUAGUUGGUGGGGUAAAGGCCUACCAAGGCGACGAUCGGUAGCGGGUCUGAGAGGAGGAUCCGCCACGCUGGGACUGAGACACGGCCCAGACUCCUACGGGAGGCAGCAGUGGGGAAUAUUGGACAAUGGGGGGAACCCUGAUCCAGCCAUGCCGCGUGUGUGAAGAAGGCCUUAUGGUUGUAAAGCACUUUAAGCGAGGAGGAGGCUACUGAGACUAAUACUCUUGGAUAGUGGACGUUACUCGCAGAAUAAGCACCGGCUAACUCUGUGCCAGCCGCCGCCGUAA